rnacentral:rRNA from 1 species
GACGAACGCUGGCGGCGUGCUUAACACAUGCAAGUCGAACGGAAAGGCCUGCUUUCCCCUGUGGAUUGCGGGUACUCGAGUGGCGAACGGGUGAGUAACACGUGAGUGAUCUGCCCCCAACUUGGGUAUAAGCCUGGGAAACUGGGUCUAAUUCCCGAUAGGACUGCAGGGUGGUGCCUGUGGUGGAAAACGAUUUUCUAGUGGUUGGGGAUGAGCUCGCGGCCUAUCAGCUUGUUGGUGGGGUAAUGGCCUACCAAGGCGGCGACGGGUAGCCGGCCUGGGAGGGUGGACGGCCACAUUGGGACUGAGAUACGGCGCAGACUCCUACGGGAGGCAGCAGUGGGGAAUAUUGCACAAUGGGCGGAAGCCUGAUGCAGCGACGCCGCGUGGGGGAUGACGGCCUUCGGGUUGUAAACUCCUUUCGACCGAGAGGAAGCCACCUGGUUGGAAGGGUGGUGACGGUAGUGGUAGAAGAAGCACCGGCUAACUACGUG